GACGAACGCUGGCGGCGUGCCUAAUACAUGCAAGUAGAACGCAGUUGCGAACGGGUGAGUAACGCGUAGGUAACUGCCUGGUAGCGGGGGAUAACUAUUGGAAACGAUAGAUAAUACCGCAUACUACUAGAUGGAUCUGCGUUGUAUUAGCUAGUUGGUUGGGUAACGGCUAACCAAGGACACCAUACAUAGCCGGCCUGGGAGGGGGAUCGGCCCCACUGGGACUGAGGCACGGCCCAGACACCUACGGGAGGCAGCAGUAGGGAAACUUCGGCAAUGGACGGAAGUCUGACCGAGCAACGCCGCGUGAGUGAAGAAGGUUUUCGGAUCGUAAAGCUCUGUUGUAAGAGAAGCGGUAUCUUACCAGAAAGGGACGGCUAACUACGUGCCAGCAGCCGCGGUAAUUC
rnacentral:rRNA from 1 species